rnacentral:rRNA from 1 species
CCUACGGGGUGGCAGCAGUGGGGAAUAUUGGACAAUGGGCGAAAGCCUGAUCCAGCCAUGCCGCGUGUGUGAAGAAGGCCUUCGGGUUGUAAAGCACUUUCAGUGGGGAAGAAAGCCUUGGGGCUAAUACCCUCGAGGAAGGACAUCACCCACAGAAGAAGCACCGGCUAACUCCGUGCCAGCAGCCGCGGUAAUACGGAGGGUGCGAGCGUUAAUCGGAAUUACUGGGCGUAAAGCGCGCGUAGGCGGUCUGAUAAGCCGGUUGUGAAAGCCCCGGGCUCAACCUGGGAACGGCAUCCGGAACUGUCAGGCUAGAGUGCAGGAGAGGAAGGUAGAAUUCCCGGUGUAGCGGUGAAAUGCGUAGAGAUCGGGAGGAAUACCAGUGGCGAAGGCGGCCUUCUGGACUGACACUGACGCUGAGGUGCGAAAGCGUGGGUAGCAAACAGGAUUAGAUACCCUGGUAGUC